rnacentral:misc_RNA from 1 species
AAUGGCGAUGGCUGUUCGUGCAGAUGAAGGCAGGGUGAUCAACAAAUAUUUGAUAAAAAAAGAUCAACAAAUAAAACAGAUUCGAAGUCUGAUUCAUCAAUGAAGGGAUCAACAAUCGCAUAUAUCCCAAUAUCAUCCACGGGGCCAAAAGAAUCGCCUGCAAUAUCCUACAUCUUUUUCUCACCUUCCAUAUACUGUGUGAAGUCUUCAAUAAUACAAUUCUAGUUUAAUUCCCUUUAUCUUUAAUUCUUUUUAAAGUUUCAG